UGCACACCUGUCGCCAGGUUAAACAACCAUCGAGCAUGUGUCAAUGGCAUUGCUUGGGCCCCACAUUCAUCCUGCCACAUCUGCACUGCAGCGGAUGACCACCAGGCUCUCAUCUGGGACAUCCAGCAAAUGCCCCGAGCCAUUGAGGACCCUAUCCUGGCCUACACAGCUGAAGGAGAGAUCAACAAUGUGCAGUGGGCAUCAACUCAGCCCGACUGGAUCGCCAUCUGCUACAACAACUGCCUGGAGAUACUCAGAGUGUAGUGUUGGUGGCGCUGUGCCCACGAGGCAGGGGCUUUUGUAUUUCCUGCCUCUGCCCCACCCCCAAAGUAAGAAGAAACAUGUUUCCAGUGGCCAGUAUGUCUUUCAUUGCUUUGCACCCACUGUUACCAGAAGCUGCUCUAGGAGUUCCUGGCCAGUCACCCCAUCGCCCUCUGUGGCAGACUCAGUGCUGUGUGGCGCCUCCUCAGCCCAGGGCUGAGUUUUAAGAUUUUCUCUCCUUUCCUCUUCUCCUUUGGUUCCUCAAUUAAAAAAUGUGUGUAUAUUUGUUUGUCAGGCGUUGUGUUGAGGAGCAGUUCACGCACUGGCUGUGUCUAUUCCUCUGCCCAGGUGUCUCUGUUUGCUGCCCAAGGCAGCAGUUCAUGUCUCGUCCAUGUCCAUGUUCGUGUUAGCACUUACGUGGGAACAAAUACCAAUUUGUCUUUUCUCCUAGUAUCAGUGUGUUUAACAAAUUUUAACUUUGUAUAUUUGUUAUCUAUCAGGCUAAUUUUUUUAUGAAAAGAAUUUUACUCUCCUGCUUCAUUUCUUUGUCUUAUAGUCCUCCCUCUUUGCACCUUCUUCUCUUCCCUCAGUGCCUGGAGCUGGUACUGGGCCCCUGGCCCCAUGAGCAGUUUGCCUUCUUGAGUCACUGCCUGUGUAGUACAUACCUGACCGGGAGUCCAAACCACCUUGGUGCUCUGAAGUCCACUGACUCAUCACACCUUUCUUAGCCUGGCUCCUCUCAAGGGCAUUCUGGGCUUGUAAACAGACAUAGGAAGCCUCUGUUUACCCUGAAGCACCACUGUCCAGCCCAUUGGUUCCCACUGGCAGCAUGGUAGAGCUGAGAGAAACAGGCUCUCAGGGUACCUGACUUGAGGGGAAUCGUUUCAUGAAGCUGAACUUCAAGCAUAUUUCCAGUACAUUCUUUCAGAGUCUGUUUUUCCAUCCAAAUAUAAGCCCCAGGCCAUUCCACUUAGUGUCUUUUCAAUGAUAGGCAAGAAUGAUAUCUGAGUUGAACUUCGGUGCUUCUGUUGUUUGAGUUUACUGUGCCUGGUGGUAUAUUGGGCAUUCUUUGGAUUGAGUGUUCUGAGGUGAGAGAGUCUUCCCGAGGCAUCCUGUCUGUGCUUCCAACCCUGAACAAGACCUUACAUGAGAGAUGGACUGAUGGACUGCGGCAAUCCUGGGCUGUCAAGUGGAUAGAUAGUUAAAAAGCAUUAUACUGUGGGUAAUGAAAAGGGAGGAAAAAAAAAGAAGGAAAAGGAAUUAUAGACCCCCAGGGUCAGCCAGUUAAGAGCUCUACCCACACCUGUCAACCCCUCUCUCCCCCAGUUUAGGUUCUGAGCAGUAUUGGACUUGUAGCCUGCAGUUGUCUUUUGACUUGCAGGCCGCAGGUGUCUUUCUGUUAUGUGAAUGAGUUCCAUGGAGGGGCAUAUGUGUGAUUCCACCGUUAGAUGAGCCCUUGGGGCAGGCAGUUUGGGAUGUGCUCUUGGGGGAAAGUUGGCUGUUUCCUUGCGCUCUGCUCCUACCCGAAGGUUUUUAAGUCCCUCUGAAUUGCUCAUCUGAGAUUAGUAGAGUAGCAGGCCUGAAGGAUGAUGGUUUUGUCCUCUUUGGUUCUCACCUGCUUGAGAAGUAAAACAGUAACUUUGUUCUUCUGGGCCCUUAAGCUUUUUUGGUUAAGUCUUCCUUUUCAGAAGUAGAUGUCAUUAUAUGCCAAAAGUCUAGCUCUUUGCUUUACCAUACAGGGACCUGUCCCAAAGAAAAAGGCUCUUUUUUUAGCCAGCAUAUUUCCCCUUCUACCCUUUUACUUUGUUGUUCUGAUUUUAGGACUCUGGCUGGCCAUGUGCUUGUGGUUGCCUCUCCUGCAUUUGCCACUGGAUUUGCACUGCAUCGUUUGGAGAUACAAAGCGAGCAGUUCUUGGUCAGAACCCUCCUCUGCUUUUCAUUGUGUUUGAUAAUGGUUACUGGGUCCUUCUCUCAAGGGUAGCAAGGCCAAGCUGAUGGCUGCUUGUUUAGGAGGCCAUCAGUUCCUUCCUGUGGAGAAGGGUCUGAAAUGGAAGUCAGUGGUAGAAGGGGCUGGUCUGCUGGGCAGGGCUUACAUCCACUGAGUUCUAAGAUUCCUUUCCUGAUCUGCACCUACGCCUGGUCUGUAUGGUGGAAUUUGUCAGCUGGAACUCAGAAACAACAACU
rnacentral:lncRNA from 1 species